rnacentral:rRNA from 1 species
UACGGAGGGAGCUAGCGUUGUUCGGAUUUACUGGGCGUAAAGGGCGCGUAGGCGGCUUAACAAGUCACUUGUGAAAUCUCCGGGCUUAACUCGGAACGGCCAAGUGAAACUGUCAAGCUAGAGUGCGGAAGGGGCAAUCGGAAUUCUUGGUGUAGCGGUGAAAUGCGUAGAUAUCAAGAGGAACACCUGAGGUGAAGACGGGUUGCUGGGCCGACACUGACGCUGAUGCGCGAAAGCGUGGGGAGCAAACAGG